rnacentral:lncRNA from 1 species
ACAGGAUUAGGUGUAAUCUGAAGGAGGAAGAUGAGCUCCAAAAUGAGUGUCUCUGGGGAACAGGACACACAGGAAGCUGAGAGACUGGAUCAGGAUAAGAGAUCAGACUCACCUGAACCCAGCUGUGUCUCCAUAAACAGUGACCAGUCAAUGGAAAGACCUAUACACUUCAGUGAGGACAACAGAUCUACUGAUCUCAGUGAGAUUCAGAGAGAGAGGACAGACCCUCCUGAACCCAGCCGUGUGUCCAUGAAGAGUGACUGGUCAAUGGAUCCUCCAACAAACUUCAGAAAGGAAGACUGUUCUCCUGAACUGACGUAAGCAAGUCUCUGUAAUACUUUACUGUUGGGCACAUAAACCUUUAGAAAUCAAUA